UACGGAGGGGGCGAGCGUUAUCCGGAAUUACUGGGCUUAAAGGGUGCGUAGGCGGCUAUGUAAGUCAGGAGUGAAAGUUUGCGGCUCAACCGUAAAAUUGCUUUUGAUACUGCAUGGCUGGAAUUAGGAUGAGGUCAGCGGAAUGUGGCAUGUAGCGGUGAAAUGCAUAGAUAUGCCAUAGAACACCAAUUGCGAAGGCAGCUGGCUAGACCUGGAUUGACGCUGAGGCACGAAAGCGUGGGGAGCGAACAGG
rnacentral:rRNA from 1 species